AUACGGAGGAUCCGAGCGUUAUCCGGAUUUAUUGGGUUUAAAGGGUGCGCAGGCGGGAGAUUAAGUCGGCGGUGAAAUUUUGCAGCUCAACUGUAAAAGUGCCUUCGAAACUGGUUUUCUUGAGUGUAGAUGAAGUAGGCGGAAUUUGUGGUGUAGCGGUGAAAUGCAUAGAUAUCACGAGGAACUCCGAUUGCGCAGGCAGCUUACUAAACUACUACUGACGCACAGGCACGAAGGCGUGGGGAUCAAACAGGAUUAGAUACCCUGGUAGUCCACGCAGUAAACGAUGAUUACUAGCUGUUUGCGAUACAAUGUAAGCGGCUGAGCGAAAGCGUUAAGUAAUCCACCUGGGGAGUACGUUCGCAAGAAUGAAACUCAAAUGAAUUGACGGGG
rnacentral:rRNA from 1 species